AUGAAGGAUGGGACUGAGUCUGAGUCAGUCUGCAAACAUAUAGGAAAUAUGUGGGAAACAGGGCAUAACUAUGGCCUCCAACAUCACAUCAGACUAAGAAAUUGGUCAAAAGGCAACAGAAUCAUUGCUGUUGUUCAGACAGUUACAAGUGUGACUCAAGCAGAGCCCUGUUAAAGUGGUACAGUUAAUGAAUCAGUGUAAAAGUUUAAAAAUAAGUAAAGGAAAAGGCCAGGAUAUAUCCAAUUGCUUUUUUAAAUCUCCCAGCUUAGUUUUUUGAGUGAUUCACCUUUUCCUUUGACGUACUUUGAUAUACACUGUAGGUGACUAUUGUUGACAGACACGCAGUGACAUUGUACAAAUACUGAAUACUCAGUCAGGGAGGAGAAGGGCACAGAGGGCAGAUUUUCUGUUUACUGCGAAUUCAGUUUGUAGAUAUUGAUAUUAUGUAUUCCCAAAGGAGACACAGAGACGGAUGCAGGUUUAGAGUUAAUUACAAAAACCAAAAACUAUAACUGAGGGAAAGCAGAGCUUAGUAGGAGAUGGGGCAGUGGGCAAAAUCCAGGGAGGAAAACUGGGUCUAAUGAAGGUAGCUUCAUUACCUAUAUGGAAUUCACAUUCAAGAUACAAUAAGACACAAAACAAUGACUGUGUCUUAUGGAUUUAAUGAGUGUGGGUUUGAGGCUGGCAUGUGCUGCCAUGUGCAGCCAUGUGCUGUUUGGUGGCUUCUCCUUGCAACAUUGGGUGAAAACCCUGCUGAGGCCUACAAGGCAGAAAGCAACAGUUUGAGUACAAGGAUUAAUUGAUUGGACUUCAUUUAUAACUGAAUGCCUGUAGAAGUGGGUGUGGGGCAUUGUUUUGAUAAUGCAUAAAUUGAAAAGUGUGACAUGACUCACCUGUCUUUUGUCACUGCAGGUGUUCCAGCCAAAGAGUCCCCAUGGGCUGGAACAUCUUUUUAAAGGUUCCGGGAGGAACCAAGUGUAGGUGAGGAGAGGGUGAGAAGAAAUCUCUUCAGGUGAUAAAAUAAAUGUAUUGCUUGAUGAGGAUGUUGGUAGUCGUUUUUCGGAAAUGCAUAUCCAGUUUUAAUGUUUGUUAUUAUAGUUAAAAUUAAAGACAUUGCGUUUUUGGGAAAUUCUUGUGUUUGAUUAUUUUGGUUAACCCUUAUGUUGGUAGGCCUGAGGGGCUGAUUAGGGGGAUGCCUAUAAAAGACUGGCAGUUGAGUGAGAGCGAGGAGAGAGGAAAGGAGCGACACAACACACCAGAUAACCACCUUUGCUAUUUGUGUUCUUUUAAUGUGAAUGUUGGUGAACAAAUGCCAGGUUGACCUGCAUCUUAUCUCGCCUCAAGCCUCCUGUUUUAUCCAACUGUAAAACAGUCAUCCUAACACUGGGGUGUGAUGGGGAAGCAGUCUGAGUGAGGAUUUACAGAACUGGAGGUAAUAGCAGGGCUACAAGCAGAAAGAAACACACGAGGAAAAGAAACUGAACAGAUAGCAUGAGUGGAUUUACAAUAAACUGGUGGAGAGCGGAGGGAGAGAUUGGUCUUUAAACUGCAGGUGUUGGGAGCGGCAGUUAGUGAGGAUGAGCUGCAGGUGUGUCAGGAGCAUGUUAGCAGGCACUGUCAGCUGAAGAUCAGGCAUUAGACAGGAGAACAGGCUUAGAAAUAGACAUCACUCAUGUCAACUGAUAUAGGAACAUGAGAGAUGUUGGCCAUAAACUGACAUAAAUAGCAUUUUUGUGAGACAGUGUUCUGUUGUUGACCUUUAAUCUUUCAGACAUUUGUGUGUUUUGUCAUCAUUAACAAAUUAAUUUGACGUGAUCUCAUAAAACAAAGCCAAAAACAUGUUUUGUUAGGUCACAGUGACCUUGACCUUUGACCAUCAAAAUCUACUCAGUUCAUCCUUGAGUCUAUGUCAACAUUUAUGCCAAAUUUGAAAGAAUUCUCUCAAGCCUUUCUUGAAAUAUCUGACUAUUAGGAAUGAGCCUGACCUUUGACCUUCAGUGUUAUACCUUGGAUACAUGUCAUCACUUAAUAAUUUUAUCUCAGUUGGUUUUGUUUAACGCUUUGUCAUAAUUAAUGUGAAUUCUUGAGUCAUAGACAAAAACAUGUUUUGACAUCAUUUGACCUUUGACCUUCAAAAUCGAAUCAGUUAAUGUCCAAGUCUAAGUGGAUGUUUAAAUUCUUGAGGUGUGGCAUAAAUGUGAAGACAUUCCCUCAGGACUUUCUUGAGGUAUGACAUUCACAGUUUGCCUUUAACUAGUACAUUCAUUAUAUUUGUAAAAAGGAUUCAUUGCAGUUCUUGUGAGCCAGGUUGCAUCCUCUCUCCCAUGUGAGUGACAUGCUCACCCCUCAUGUCACCUCAGCCAACAGCCAAUAGGAUGUUACGGCUAUUGGUAGUGUAUCUGACUGUAGUGGAGAGGAGACUGAAGCUGUGGGAGAUACAGAGCUGC
ensembl:lncRNA